rnacentral:sRNA from 1 species
UCGAUCUGCUGCGGCGCGAUGAAAUGGAUAUGGCUGUCGAUGCCGCCUGCCGUCAGGAUCCGGCCUUCGCCGGCGAUGAUCUCGGUCGAGGGGCCGAUCACGAUGGUGACACCGUCCUGCGUAUCCGGAUUGCCGGCCUUGCCGAUGGCGGCGAUGCGGCCAUUCCUGAGGCCGACGUCUGCCUUGACGAUGCCGGAAUGGUCGAGGAUGACGGCAUUGGUGAUGACCGUGUCCAUCGCACCUUCGGCCCGCGUGGCCUGGCUCUGGCCCAUGCCGUCACG